GUCCAGUGAGCACCGACGGCGUCUCGUUUAUCUCUUAAGCGAUGAUAAAUCUUCUCUCUCAAUUCUAGUCCAAUAGCGGACUAACAGCAUAAAGGCGCCACACGCCAAACGUCGACGUCGGGAGAGAGAGAGGGAGAGGAAGCUGUGAGAGUGAGAAAGCGAGAAGAAAGCCAUUUCUCAGUUCUCACCACCUCGCCGGAGAAAGAAUAAUUUUGCUUCUUGUUCAUGCGGUACCACAUGUUUUCACAAUUU